rfam:Myotis lucifugus cont2.17687, whole genome shotgun sequence.
GAGAAACCCCUUCUGGGGCAAGACUUGCUUUAGUGGGGCUUUGGUGCUCACUGAGUCUGCCCCCUGAGUGUGUCCUU